GGGAUGGCUCGGUGGUCAAGAGCACUGGCUGCUCUUCCAGAGGACCUGGGUUCAAUUCCCAGCACCCA
rnacentral:tRNA from 1 species